UACGUAGGGUGCAAGCGUUGUUCGGAAUUAUUGGGCGUAAAGCGCGUGUAGGUGGCUAGACAAGUCGGGUGUGAAAGCCCAGAGCUCAACUCUGGAAGUGCAUUCGAAACUAGCUGGCUAGAAGAUGGUAGAGGAAGGUGGAAUUCCAAGUGUAGAGGUGAAAUUCGUAGAUAUUUGGAGGAAUACCGGCGGCGAAGGCGGCCUUCUGGGCCAUUCUUGACACUGAGACGCGAAAGCGUGGGUAGCAAACAGG
rnacentral:rRNA from 1 species